GAGAGAGAGAGAGAGAGAGAGAGAGAACGGGAGAGAGAGACCGAGAAAGAACAAGAAAGAGAGAAUGAGAGAGAGACAGAGAGAGACAGAGAGACAGAGAGAGACAGAGAGAGAGAGAGAGAGAGAGAGAGAGAGAGAGAGAGAGAGAGAGAGAGAGACUGAGACUGGUGCGGAAUGUUGGUUCCAGCAGGUCGGGUGUUGGACAGAUUCCCUGGAUGAGAAAUCAAAACUAGAGUCUAGCUGGGAGAAUUACUUACAGUCCUUUGUGCUAAGGAUUGCAAUGCGACUCUGAAGUUCCCUCUUCCAGCUAGCGAGAAUGGUCGUUGCCGGUCGUCUGGAGAGCCCAGCGCGCUAGAACUGUUUGGGAGAAAUAGGGAGGGGGCGCCGUCGUGUACGCCGCUUUUCCACCCACCCUCGCCUAAUCAGGCGGCUCUCAAUCAGGUUUUCAACAUACUAAUCUUGAUCUAAGAGCUCCUAUCUCUGCAUAAGUGGAGGGAAUGAUUCGUUUUUAGAGGCUUCUGGGCUUAGAGAAGGAGAAUGUCAGACUGGAGUCAAAAGAGCUGGUCUGGCCUGGCGUCCGUCUUGCUCCGGGCGCCGGGAGGGACAAUGACAUUACCGGCGGUAAUUGCCUGUGUCCAGCGCGCUCUCUGGGCUACCCUGUGGUGGGAAAAUAAAUCGGCCGUGCCUUGCUGGUGCCUUCCCAUUGGACUGAAAUUUCUAGAAGCCACUGUUCAUCAAAUGAAAACCAGAAAGGAAGGCCCACUAGGAGGUCGGCCAAAACUCUGGAUUCCCUGGCUCUGUCCAAGGAAUGAAUGGACUAGGAAAGAAAGCUACGUCUGAUCCGGUCCGGGGCUCUGCGGCUCUCAUGCAAGCUCGGAGGCACUAAGUGUGUCCCGCUAAAACCCUGGGGUGGGGUGCAGGAAAGAGUCCUGCCAGGCCUUGGUCCAGGACUGGAGAAAGAGAGAACCCUGAUCUACCUGACAUCCAGAGCUUCCUCCUUGGCGAAGAGCUGCCUAAUUGGACGGUAAGCUGCUGCGAAAUUUGCGGUCUUCUAAUAUCCCUUUUCCUCCUCCUUGGCAGUUCCUAUCAAAGCCAUAAAACCAAUAUUUUCACACCCGGCUCGCAAGGCAGGAGCCGUUUACGGACAUCCUGCAUCAAUGAUGUGGAAAAAGGCUGCAUUGGACAGAGGUCUCUGGAGGUCGAUAUUUAAAAAGCAAUAGAUCCGAAUUAGAAAAUUAUUAUUUUAAGUUGUGAAAAAAAAAAACCCGCCAGUUUAACUAUAGAACUCUGCGCGUCUGAACUUCUUGGGCUAACUACACUUUUGAAGGAACUUAUACCGGUGCUUGAGCAAAAAAGCAGGUCCUCGGCUUUAAUUGUUGCCAUCUCGGGGGCUUCAAUCUGCCAGAAGGCUGGCAAGGACUCACAAAAUCCUAGGCUAGAUGUGGCUGGAUCUCGGGAGAAGCCUCAGCGAAGUAGUUACAGGGGCCCAACCAAAGUCUAGCUUGGUUGCACAGCACUUUCUCCAACCUAAGACCGGAAGGAUUCACUUCCCUGUACCAUGCCAAGGCACAGGCGACCCAAGGAUUUUCUGCUUCAAUAGGAGAAUGUGUGACCUUGGCUUCCAAGAAGGAACUGUCAAUGUCCCUGAUGUGAACGAUCAGUUAUGAUCACUCUGAAACUGAGACUCCUGGUUGUUGGUGGCUGUUUUUGGAUCGAUGCCCACCUCGUGUGUUCAUGGGAGUCUGGAAAAGUGAUUGGAGAAAAGAGAGUGUCCCGAGGUUUUGUUUUGUUGCUAAAAAGUGUGAGGCUAGGAAUCUGCAUCUGCACUCAGUGGCAUAAAGCAUGAAACUCGCUCACCUUGGGACUUAAAGUGGAUCCAGAAAAACAGAGGUGAGAAUAUUCUGGAAAGUGAAGGUCACCAAGAAGGUGAAUGCCUGAAUUCCGGGUUCCGAGAACUUCCGGCACUCGGGGCUGAGAGCCUGGGGGUAGGGUAGGUGUGAGUGACUUUCUCUAGGCACCCUGGUGUGCAGAACAAUGCGGCUCUCCUUGACUCUGCCAGAAGCCUCCAGGUCUUGCUGAAGACAAACUCUGGAGAUCCAAGGUGGGAGAGGCCGGUUCUGCUUAACCAACCAGCAUGGGAGCAGAGAGGUUCUUGGUAGAGAACCAGGAACACCCCCCCCCCGUGCCCCCCAGUGCCCACUAAAUGGGCAGUGAAAUGAACAGAGACAUGAAGGGGGGGGGGCAUCGGGAGCCUGAAGUUAGUGGAGGAGGCAGCCUUUGGGACACCGUUUACACAGUGUGACAUUCUCAAGUCCACAGUCUCACCUAAAGUACGCCUGUGGUUUGAAGCCUUGGUGUUUUGUGCCUUUUGUCGUGACCAAUAAACCAGGAACCUCGGAAACUU